GAAGGGGAUCAGGUGAUCGCGGAGCGAAAGCUCUGAGGAAGGUCGGGGCUCCACAGGGCAGGGUGCUGGCUAACGGCCAGUCGAGGUGACUCGCAGGAAAGUGCAACAGAGAAUAGACCGCCAUCUAAGUCUAGGCAGGAACACUAAGGCUUCGGUGGUAAGGGUGAAACGGUGCGGUAAGAGCGCACCAGCAACUUCGGUGACGAAGUUGGCUUGGCAAACCCCACCCGGAGCAAGGCCAAAUUUGAGUUAGGGCUGCCCGUCCGUUACGACUCGUGGUAGGCCGCGUAGAUGGAUGAUCACCCAAGCGAAAGCUGGACAGAACCCCGCCUACAGAUCCCCUUCGCCC
rnacentral:RNase_P_RNA from 2 species